CCGUUACGGGGGAAGCGAAUUGCGUCGAAUUGAUUUUAUGGGGGGUGCACUGUUCAGCGCGUUUUGCGUGUACUCAGGGCAUUUUUCCUUACCCGUCGUGGGUUUUUGGAUGGUCGAAUUUGGGCCGUCUAGGACUGAGGGAUCCUCUUUUUUUAAUAUAAGGGUGAGGACGACGGGGCGCUGACGCGAUACGACCCGUCUUGAAACACGGACCAAGGAGUUCAGCAUAUGUGCGAGUCAAAGGGUGGUGAAACCUGAGGGCGCAGUGAAAGCGAUUUAACACGGAUCGUGUAAGAACUAAAACAUAUAAUUUUCAGUUUUAAGGCGGCAUACAAUGGGUGAUUGUAGGACCGACCUCGAGCAGAUAUGCUGAGACCCGAAAGAUGGUGAACUAUGCCGGAGUAGGGCGAAGCCAGAGGAAACUCUGGUGGAGGCUCGUAGCGGUGCUGACGUGCAAAUCGCUCGUCUGACUUGGGUAUAGGGG
rnacentral:rRNA from 1 species